UGGGGAAUAUUGGACAAUGGGCGAAAGCCUGAUCCAGCCAUGCCGCGUGUGUGAAGAAGGUCUUCGGAUUGUAAAGCACUUUAAGUUGGGAGGAAGGGUUGUAGAUUAAUACUCUGCAAUUUUGACGUUACCGACAGAAUAAGCACCGGCUAACUCUGUGCCAGCAGCCGCGGUAAUACAGAGGGUGCAAGCGUUAAUCGGAAUUACUGGGCGUAAAGCGCGCGUAGGUGGUUAGUUAAGUUGGAUGUGAAAUCCCCGGGCUCAACCUGGGAACUGCAUUCAAAACUGACUGACUAGAGUAUGGUAGAGGGUGGUGGAAUUUCCUGUGUACCGGUGAAAUGCGUAGAUAUAGGAAGGAACACCAGUGGCGAAGGCGACCACCUGGACUGAUACUGACACUGAGGUGCGAAAGCGUGGGGAGCAAACA
rnacentral:rRNA from 1 species